rnacentral:lncRNA from 1 species
GAGGAAGAAGGAGAUGAAGAGAUGGAUUUUGAGCAAGAUGAUUAGUUUUUAAAUUUUAUUUCGGGUUGUAUUAAAACAUAAGGAUGAUUUUUGUUUGUUUUAGGAUAGGAAUAAUUUUUUAGUUGUUUGGAUUUGUGUUUGUUUAUGAUUUUCUCUGUAGGAACCCCACAUAAAGGAGACACAAACAAUUUGAGCUUUACAUGAACAAGGGAGGAAGCACCCACCAUUAACAGUUAGAGAAACCACG